rnacentral:lncRNA from 1 species
GGAAACGGCCGUGGGCAUUUUGGUGUAUUUUUAUUCAACUUUGAAAGACAUAUUUUAUUUUUACACAUUUUAUUUUAUACAGUAUAGACAUACAUAUGCAUACACGCCUCCUCUCAUGACAUUAAACUUUUGCACAACUUCACAAUUGUAAAUGAUCACAGAAAAAUGCCUCAAAAUGAAUGUAUCAUAUCCUAGCCCCACCACUUAACCUCUCUGUGCCUCAGUUUUCUCCUCUGUAAAACGGGGAUAAUAAUAGUAUCUACUUUAUAAGUUGCUUGUAAGGGUUCAAUGUGAUUAUGGUGUGAAUGUGGGAAGCGCUCAGAAAGUAUCAUUUUCAUUAUUAUUAGAACUAUUAUUCCUUAAUUGCAAACAUUUAAAUUCUAAUUUUAUUCUAUUGCAAAUGACACUGUAAUGAAUCUCUCUGCUCGGGAGGGUUGUGUGGGAACCUCAGGGAGCUUGCUUCACCCACCCCCGCCCCCCAAAUUAAGCACAACAGGGACAGAGAGAGCGAGGUGUGCUGGGAGGCCCCGUGGCUAAAAGUUAGGAGACCAGAUCUUGGCACUGGCAGCCUGGGGAAGGAGGGCAAAGGGGUGGGGGUGCAGGGAAUGGCAUCUGUGAAAGCUCAGAAGCUUCUAGAAGAGCAUGGGAAGUUCUGAUGUGGUUGCUGGGAUGGCAGUUCUUGUCCCUAUUUGACCUAUGGGUAAUUGAGGGCCAGGAAAGGGGUGACUUGUCUGAUGACGUGGAUGGGCACCAAGUCUGAGCUUCCUGGCUCUCCACAUGCCUGAAAAACAUCUGUGUUUGUUGGGAGAAGGAGAUGAAGAAGAGGAGGAGGAGGAAGAAUUUGGGGCUUUCGAAGCAUGCAUGCCUGUGUGCCCCUGCCCAAUCAAGGUUCAGCUGUCCUGCAAAGCAACCCAGCGGGUCCUGUGAGCUGGAGGCCAGUUUGCCCUGUUUGUCUCCAUGGGUCUUUUCCCUGAUGUCUCCCAAACAGAGACCGUUGGGCUGGCAGCUGGCAGGUCUCCUGAGCUCCACCCUCACCUCCCAUCCCUUCAACCCAGUAGCCUUGCAGACAAAGGCUGGAAAGCCAGGUCCCAUUUCCAGUCAUCAUCCACAGUGCAUAAUUAGGCAGUGCUUGCCUUGUGUUUAUUUAAAGAAGGAGUGUGAACUUGGCAUCAGUGCUUCUGCCAAGAGGGAAGAGCCCCGGAAGGCCCAGAGAAAGCUGGGGGCUUGGGCAGCAGGGGUUUGAGGCCUGAGAGGCCAGGCCGGCCUGUGGUAUAGACAUCGACAAGCAAAGUUUGAGGACUCCUGAAAGUUCUCCAAAAUCUUACCUGCUACCUGUCACCAUUCUCAGUCCGUUAUUAGAACUGUAGCUUCUCAACAGCUUUCUAAGUUCCAAAGAAAAUGCAAAUUAAUACUUCUUGGGGCGCCUCUAUCCUUUAUGGUCUGAAUUUGAGAACAUUGCAAUAGCAGCCUCAUUGCUGCACUAGUCCAAACACUUCUGUGUAACCCUCUUCCACAUGCAGUACUGAGGAGUUCUUGCUGCCUACUGUUUACAGAGGGUAGUCCAAGAAAUAAGAAAUGUCAGUCCCACAUGGUGAAAACUCUGCACUCUAGGGCUUGGGAAUUAUCUGCUAAUAAGACCUGACAUUUCUGAAGGCCAUUAUGAGUUAAACCUCAGGCUCAGAAUGUAUAAUGGGGAGAGAUUCUAGAUACUUCUAGACCACUCUUCUCAUGGAGUAGAAAAAAAUGUAGAGAAACCUCAGAGAGGGGAAGGGACUUACCUACACCAGUUAACGGUAGAGCUAGGACUAGAACACAGGUCUCCUGAUUUCAGUCUCAACUCUCAGGCACCAUGUUGCUUCCCUCCAUUCAAAGAUCAGUGAGGGGGCAGUCAGCACCAGCUGGAGUGUGGCAGUGAAGAGCUCACAGUCCCUGCCCAAGAGGAGCUCCCAGAGGCUGACAAGGGUAUGGGAACAGGGACUCAUCUGAAUCAGAGUGGGUGGAGUUUAGACAGGGGUGGGUCUGAAGAACUGUGGGGAACAGGGUGGUGAGACAGACAUCAGCAAAUUUCCCAAGGGGGUUAGCACAGGAGGUUGAAGGAUGAAUGGGGCUUCUUUACCAGGAGACAUAGGGAAAGGUGUUCCGGGAAAAGGGAAGGGCAAACUCAUGGGAAAAGGAGGCUGAUUUCUCCUGUUCCCAGGUUACAGUGGAUUCCCUGCGGGCUUAACCAGGAUCCCUAGCGCUCAGUGCAGACCCUCCCACGGCAGGGCCCGAGGCUGUAAUCUGUAACCUUAUUGUGACAUAUAUAGUUACAAAGAGAUUGGUUGGACAGGAUGGAUUUUAAUCGAAAAGAGUUAGCCUCUACUGGUGGAAAUGCGGACAUUGUGGCAGGUGAUGAGAAGAAUCCUUUUUGGGGUAGCAGUGGUGAAAACGCUUGCAUGGGUGCGCUGGCAUGCGUGCAGGGACACCUCUUCCUUGUUCUCAAUUCUGUUGACUUUCAAAUUGCAGUUUAAGAGCCAUCUUCCCAUGUCCAACUGUUAAGGUGGCCACUACCCCCUCCCUCUUCUGGACCAUGCCAUCCCCUGCUCUGAGUCUCAGUUUCUCCACAUGUAAAAUGAGGCAGGUGGACUUGCUUGUCUUAAAGGCCCCUUCUGCCUGGGGCUGGUUCUUUAGCCCAGUCUCUGCUUCUCCCUCUGCGGGGAUGUCAGAGGCGCCCUCUCGUGGUCAAUAUUGGCCAUGCAUCCUUGGACUUGGCGCAGGUUUUUGCUUGGCCUCUGAGGGUGUGUGCUUGUGUGUGCAUGUGCGUGUGAGCGUGCCUGUGUACUGGGAGUGGUUACACAGCGGGUGCGUGACAGGCUCAUGACACAUAGAAUGCAGAGCUUCGCUAACUCUCAGACCCUGAUGAAAACACAGAUAAGGAGGUGGGGGUCAUUUAAAAUAAGGGCAAAACCUGCUAAAAGCUUCCUGGGGCCCUUGCCUGGGACACCUAGAGUUCCAAAAUGCCCUAGGCCACCCAUCUUGCUAAUAUACUUUGAGAGCAUCACUCCUCUGCUCAGAAUCUCAUCCUGCCACCCCUCUGCUGAACAGAGUAAACAUCAAACUCCUGGCCCUCCAGAAUACCUGUGGCCUCACUUCUCACUCUUCUUUCCUAUACCACUCCAGGUGAACCACUCCAUCCUUCCCAUCCCCUAUCCUCAGCUUAUGCUGGGAUUUUUUUUCCCAGAGUGUCCUACCCUCUCCUUUAGUCCCCCAUAGCACCUUUCAAGAUGUGGCUAAAAUGCCACCUCCUCCAGGAAGACUCCCUGAAUUUUCCCACUUGGAUCUGUGCUCUCUUUCCUCUGAACCUCCUGGCAACUUUGUCUAUAACUGUCUCCUGGGAUGUAGACAGUUUUAGAGUUUACCCAGGUAAUUUAGGUCGAAGAUGUCCUGUUUUGUUCCCCCUACUCAAAAACUGGCUCCAUGACUGCUUUAUAUCUGGGUCCUUCUAAAUACUGAGCCUUCCCCAUGGCAUCCAGGCAUCCCUCUGCAAGGCCCUGAUUCCCACUCCUUCCCUCUGCCUCCUCCUUCAGUAGGGGCUGCUGUCAUGCAAGGAGGUCUGGCAGUGGAGGAAGAAGACAUGAGCCUUGGGCCAGACUCUUACUGGAUUCCCACCCCACCUGCCCCGUCUUCAGCAGACAAGCUGGUACCCAGCACAAAGGCUCCAGCUGCUGAGCUGUGUGUGGGAGCCUGGUCUCUGGGUGCCCAGAAUGAAGGGUCAGACCCAGGUCACUGCCUGACUCUUUCUUUCAAGGACCGAAGUAAGAACUACAGGCCUAACAGUAACAUCCCUGGCUAUUUGUAGAAGUCCGCUUGGUCGGUCCAUGCUCUAUAACAUGAAUUUCUCAUACAACCCAUUUUUAGAUGGGGAAACAAGAGCUCAGAGAGGCUAGGUAACUUGUUCAAGAUCACACAGCUCUGAGUGCAAGUGUUCAAACAUAGUCCCCACUUUCCAUCCGUCUCCAAAUCCUGUGCAGUUUCUGGAAUAUUCUGCUGUCACUGUGCCUUGCACAAAUCCAGGUUUUGAUAAAUUCCUGGAUAAUAAAAGGCAGACAUGAGUCAACAUAUAACCAGCUCUUUCUCUUUGACUUCCAUAUUGCCCCAGGCCCACACGCGGACCUCUGCAUGAGGGAAGAGUGACAGAACUGGGUUUGUCUGAGAGGGUGAUGGCUCGGGGGGCCAAAGGGAGAGGUGAACCCUGCAUCCCAGGAGGGGUGAAUUCUCUGAUGUGAAUCAUCUGGGUGGUAGGGAGUAAUGGGUCCUGGGCAUGGUGGGGACUGUCACACCCUGAUGCGCUGUCCCAGUUAGGUUGGAGGAGGCUGGGAGGGCCAUCUGACCACAAUGCAGGUCUGUUGCGGACCUCAAGGAGCCUGCAGGGAGUGCAGCCACCUCAGGCACACACCUUGGUGAUAGAUUUUACUGCUCAGCUGCUGAAGCCAUUGGUCAAUGAUGCUCCUCACAGUCAGAGAUCUGAGAGGGGCAUUUUCACAGCCACCACAGACCUUCUGCCUCCCAGGGCCUCCUCACUGGCCUGGCCUGGAGGACUGCCACUGGCACCCACAGUUAGAGGGAAGGAAGUUUCAGGCCUCUGUAACCCAGGAGAGAAGUCCACUAGUCCAGUCCAGGCCAGGUGUCCAGCUCUGGUGGGUGGAACCAUUUGCCCAGCUGUCCUUUGGCUGAGGGUUGGGGCCUGACCUCUGAAGUGAAGGCACCCACAGAGCUGGCCAUUGAGGCAAAUGUCCAGAAUCCUGGGGCAUGGGCACCGGCAGGGGAGAUGAGGUCAUGUGAGAUGUAGGUGCCACUCUCUUGCAGAACCCACCCUCGCACCUUGGCACACAGUGGCUCCACGAGGCCAAGAGCUGGUCUCUUGUUUAUCUGGGUGUAGGGCGUGCACACUGCCUGGAACUGACAGUGUCAGGGACUUCUGCUGGCCAGGACAGACCCCAUGCCUACUCAAUGGCCAUCAGCCCUAGGGCAGCAACAUCAGGAUCUGUCUUCCCCAUUGGUCAGGGGGCUUGUGGUAGGUUCAAACCACUGAUGGCAAGCAGUCCAGGCUCUAGUGUUGGUUUGGGGUCUGGCUCUCUCACUAACCUGAGCAAGUCCCUUACAUCCCCAGGGCUCAGUUUCCUUAUCUGUUGAGUAGAGAUCAUCACACUGAUGGCGAAGAGGCCUUGUGGUAUGGAGGGUUUGGGUUCAACUUUUUUUUUUUUGAGCUGAUUUGAAUCCCAUUUCCCUGGUUAUUUGCUAUAUGGCCUUAGGCAAGUUACUCAAUCUCUUGAAGACUCAAUUUCCCAUCUACAAAAUGGGAGUGAAGAAGAAUCUCUUCUUCUUUCCAAGAAAUGUACAUGUGAGGAUUCAAUAAGGGAACGCUCAGGCAGCUCUGAGCACAGCAUCUGGAGCGUCACUGCGAUGUGGCAGCACGCUCUGCAGCAUGCAGGACAGACACACUCCUUCCUCUCUCCUCCUUCACCUCUUCCCCAGCCCCACCCCUCACAUCUCCUUGGCUAAUGGGUCAAGCAGUGGUCAGUGUCUGGCCAACAGUGGAGACUCAACCAUGCACAGAGAGUGAAAAUGCAGUGCGCACCUCCUGUCCAGGUAGCCCCAACCUCAUUCAUUCACUUCCAGAAUGGCAGGUGCUGUGCUGAAUGCCUGGGAAGAUGGCCCCAAUGUUCCUCCCCAAGGGAUUGCCAGUCACAUCAGCACAGCACGGGAUGGAUCCUGCUGUGCCAACACUCUCUGCAGGCUUGUGGGGACCCUGGCUGAGAUGUCUGGACACCUGGAUUUCAAUCCGGUCUUUGCCAUCCACUCCCUGUGUGGCCCUCCCCCGCAAACUAAAUAAAAAUUUCAUGAGUUGGGGAAGGAGACUCAAGGGGAAGUGAGACGAGAGGACGGAAGUGAGUUGAAGAGCAGGGAGGAGCCUGGAGCCUGGAGCCUGGGCCUCCCUGUGCUGUGAUGUGUGCCAGAGUGGAAGCGGAAGUGGAAGCAGAAGCAGAAGUGGUCCUGCCGGUAGGUGUGACUGGCCUCACAGAGCUGCCAGGAUGCACCUGAGUGCUCAAGAGGGUUUCCCACAGCCCCAGGUGGAUUGGACUCAGAAGCAUGUUUCUGAUGUGCUCAAGAGUGUGGCCCAGACAAGGCACAGAGGACAGGAGUGUCAGAGGCAUUCAAACAAGAGCGACUCCAUCCUGAACGGGGGCUGGGUAAAAUGACGCUGAGGCCUGCCAGGUUGCAUUCCCAGGAGGUUAGGCAUUCUUAAGUCACUGGAUGAGAUAGGAGAGGGGCACAAGAUACUGGUUACAAAGACCCUGCUGAUAAAACAGGUUGCAGUAAAGAAGCUCGCCCAAACCAAAAUGGCAAUGAAAGUAACCUCUGGUCAUCCUCACUGCUCAUUACACGCUAAUUAUAAUGCAUUAGGAUGCUGAAAGACACUCCCACCAGCCCCAUGACAGUUUACAAACGCCAUAGCAACAUCUGGAAGUUACUCUAUAUGACUUAAAAGGAAAAGGAACUCUCAGUUCUGGGAAAUUCCCACCCCUUUCCUGGAAAAUUCAUGAAUAAACCACUCCUUGUUUAGCAUAUGAUCAAGAAAUAACCAUAAAAGUAGCCAACCAGCAGCCCUUCGUGCUGCUCUGCCUGUAGAGUAGCCGUUGUUUUAUUCCUUUACUUUCUUCAUAAACUUGCUUCUGCUUUA